rnacentral:rRNA from 1 species
AUGAUGAAUAGGAAGCGAGACAUCAGCCUUGGGACCAAAAAAUUCAAGAUGCCAGGAAAAACUUUUAGACUUUGCCGCCGUGAUGAGUACGGUACAUUCUCUUUUGGCGAACGUCGUAUGCUCAAGACUACAUCGUUGGACCGUGAAACAGACAAGCGCAUUUGUCUUGCAUCAGUACUUGACGACUACAAUGAACUCGUGAAGAGAGGUAUGCUUACAUGGGAAGCUUACAAAGAGCAUCGCCACACCAUUGAAAACUCACUACAAAUUAUCAGGGACAGUAUCAGGAAAUACAAGGAGCGUCGCUUGCAAAUGGGGCUAUUUUACUUGGUGCAAUAUCGAAAUGGCCAUGGGCUACAAGGCAUACGACCCCAUACACACUUGUACCGCAUGCCUCUCAGGGAAGCGCUAAGGAAAUGGCGACAAGAAAUCAAAAAGAGAAAAUAA